rnacentral:misc_RNA from 1 species
GAGAGAGAGAGAGAGAAAUCUUUAAUCGUUUUGCUACCAGCAAUGAUGUAACUCUAUGGUAUUAUAUACGAGUUUUUGGACGUCAAUGAGAAAGACCAUUAUCUUUUUAUCAACAAAAAUCUGUCAUGAUUUUCUGUUCCUUGACAUAUUACCUCAACAAUGAUCCAACUUGUUAAUUAAUUAGGGUGCUCUGAUAGAGUGCUUCUGUAUUGCUUGAAUGAUGUGAUCUUUCUAGGUUAGCUGUAGUUUAAGCUUUGCCAAA